CUGCAUUCGAUGUUAGUAACAUAGCAAAUCAUAUUUUUUUCUUUUUCAUUCUUCAUUUUUAAAACUCUCACAGACGUUACAGACCAAACCACCACCAAAAUACAUAACUAUCACUUUAUCAUUAGCCUAGCCUCCUGGGCAGAUGAUGUCAAUUGUAUUUUCAUUAACGUGUACUAAAACAUGUUCAAUUAUUUUGAACUAAGAAAGGAUGUGAAUAGUACCGGCUGGUACAUGUAAAUAUUAAAAAUAUAGCAUUUUAACAUUUUGUCUCCUAAGUUCCUCUUCUUUAGAUUUGCCAAGAACUACAAUCUUAC